rnacentral:rRNA from 1 species
UACGUAGGGUGCGAGCGUUAAUCGGAAUUACUGGGCGUAAAGCGUGACGCAGGCGGUUCGUUGUGUCGGCGGUGAAAGCCCCGAGCUCAACCUGGGAAUGGCCGUUGAAACUGGCGAACUGGAGUGUGGCAGAGGGGGGUGGAAUUCCGCGUGUAGCAGUGAAAUGCGUAGAGAUGCGGAGGAACACCGAUGGCGAAGGCAGCCCCCCUGGGCUGACACUGACGCCUCAGGCACGAAAGCGUGGGGAGCAAACAGG